rnacentral:rRNA from 2 species
UGCAAGUCGAGCGAACAGAUGAGAAGCUUGCUUCUCUGAUGUUAGCGGCGGACGGGUGAGUAACACGUGGGUAACCUACCUAUAAGACUGGGAUAACUCCGGGAAACCGGGGCUAAUACCGGAUAAUAUUUUGAACCGCAUGGUUCAAUAGUGAAAGACGGUUUCGGCUGUCACUUAUAGAUGGACCCGCGCCGUAUUAGCUAGUUGGUAAGGUAACGGCUUACCAAGGCGACGAUACGUAGCCGACCUGAGAGGGUGAUCGGCCACACUGGAACUGAGACACGGUCCAGACUCCUACGGGAGGCAGCAGUAGGGAAUCUUCCGCAAUGGGCGAAAGCCUGACGGAGCAACGCCGCGUGAGUGAUGAAGGUCUUCGGAUCGUAAAACUCUGUUGUUAGGGAAGAACAAAUUUGUUAGUAACUGAACAAGUCUUGACGGUACCUAACCAGAAAGCCACGGCUAACUACGUGCCAGCAGCCGCGGUAAUACGUAGGUGGCAAGCGUUAUCCGGAAUUAUUGGGCGUAAAGCGCGCGUAGGCGGUUUCUUAAGUCUGAUGUGAAAGCCCACGGCUCAACCGUGGAGGGUCAUUGGAAACUGGGAAACUUGAGUGCAGAAGAGGAGAGUGGAAUUCCAUGUGUAGCGGUGAAAUGCGCAGAGAUAUGGAGGAACACCAGUGGCGAAGGCGGCUCUCUGGUCUGUAACUGACGCUGAUGUGCGAAAGCGUGGGGAUCAAACAGGAUUAGAUACCCUGGUAGUCCACGCCGUAAACGAU